rnacentral:rRNA from 1 species
ACGAACGCUGGCGGCGUGCUUAACACAUGCAAGUCGAACGGAAAGGCCCUGCUUGCAGGGUACUCGAGUGGCGAACGGGUGAGUAACACGUGGGUGAUCUGCCCUGCACUUCGGGAUAAGCUUGGGAAACUGGGUCUAAUACCGGAUAGGAGCCAUCUUUAGUGUGGUGGUUGGAAAGUUUUUUCGGUGUAGGAUGAGCUCGCGGCCUAUCAGCUUGUUGGUGGGGUAAUGGCCUACCAAGGCGGCGACGGGUAGCCGGCCUGAGAGGGUGUACGGCCACAUUGGGACUGAGAUACGGCCCAGACUCCUACGGGAGGCAGCAGUGGGGAAUAUUGCACAAUGGGCGCAAGCCUGAUGCAGCGACGCCGCGUGGGGGAUGAGGGCCUUCGGGUUGUAAACUCCUUUCGCUAGGGACGAAGCUUUUUUGUGACGGUACCUAGAUAAGAAGCACCGGCUAACUACGUG